CAAAAAAAUGAUUUUUCAUCUUUGUAGUUUCAGUUGUAUCUGAGUUUCGGGUUUUAAAACUAAUGUGUGUAUAUUUGUAGGGGCUAAAGGAAUAUCUUGUGAUGAUAGAAUCCAAAUUCUAUAACAAAAAUAACAGAGGUGUUUGGCAUUUUUUUUCUGGGCAAAGGUGUUUGGCAUAAACCAUGAAAUUAUGCGUUCUCAGACAGUCACAAUCAAAUUCACAAAUGAAAUUAUUUUCUAAGAUGGAGAUUAUGAGUGAAUUACUUGAUGUAAGAAGCCAAAUAAGCCACAAAGACCAGGUCAAAAGUUAGGAAAAAAAUAGAAGAAGAGAAACACAAUGAGGUAAACCUUGAAGCUGCAAAGAUAAUUACAUUACUAUUUGUA